CAGCAGCCGCGGUAAUACGAAGGGUGCAAGCGUUACUCGGAAUUACUGGGCGUAAAGCGUGCGUAGGUGGUGGUUUAAGUCCGUUGUGAAAGCCCUGGGCUCAACCUGGGAAUUGCAGUGGAUACUGGAUCACUAGAGUGUGGUAGAGGAUAGUGGAAUUUCCGGUGUAGCAGUGAAAUGCGUAGAGAUCGGAAGGAACAUCUGUGGCGAAGGCGACUAUCUGGGCCAACACUGACACUGAGGCGCGAAAGCGUGGGGGGCAAACAGGAUUAGAUACCCGGGUAGUCCCUGUCUCUUAUAC
rnacentral:rRNA from 1 species